AGAGGGCAGAAGGCCAGAGAGCUGGAAGUGGUAAAAAUCCGCUCCUUGAAAGCCGCUUGACUCUGGAUAGUAAGACUGCUGUUUUUGUCACGUCUAAUGGACUGGAACGCACAAAAAAAGGCCGAUGACCCUCUUCCCUGGGUGGACACCUGUGGCUUCAGAAGUCACAUUCUCAGGAGACUCGGAACCUCAGAGACUUCCCGGGCAGCCGCUCCUCUCUGGCCCCAGGAAGCAGCAGCAAGGCCUUUUCCACAGCUUAGCAGGAGCAAAGGGCUUGGCAGAGGGUUUCCUGAAAAGAGAACCAGGGCAAGAAAAAAGAGCGCUGGACACGCUGUCUCCUGACCGGACUUGAUGUGUGCUCACAAGAGUACACUGGUUAGGCUGAAUGAAGUUUCAUACUGAUGAAUGGAAACAUUAAGGAAAAUCUCCAAGUGAACAGAAACAGGAGAGAAGCCUUCCUUCUAGGAGCAUGGAUGAUGCGUCUGGCCUGGGUUUGAGGAUCAGAUGUUACCUUGCUCUGUGCCCCCGAGCCUGUCACACUACCUUCAGCGCCUGAUGUCCAGUGAUGCUUCUUUGGGUUCAUCAUCCAGAGUGGCCCAUGAGGACUGGGAGCAGGGCUGCUGGUAGCUAUGAUGCCAAUGCUUCACUUCAUGCAAGCCUCUGCAGGUGAAAGGAAAAAUUAAAAGACGUGGACAAAGAGAAGCACCUUCAUCCCAAGAACUGCUACCGUCCUCUUUAUAAGGGAGAGAAUUAAGCUCAAAGAGUACCGACACGGGAGAGCUGUGCAAUGACAAUGCUGGAUGCAAUAAAUACCUGCUCAAGAGAAUUAAUAAUCCCCCGAUGACUGCCAUUAAAUUAUACCAUUCCUUCAAGAAGUCAAGAUUUAGAACCUCGAGACUGCUGUGUUGUGAAGAAGCCUAAGACAUGAAAAGAGGUCCAGCAGUUCCAGUUGCCCGAGCUGAGGCCCAGACAUCGGAGUGAGGCCCUUUUAGACUGUUUGAUCCUAGCUGAACCCAGACUCAGUAAGUCCAAGCAAGACCAAGUGGAGCACCAUCCAGGCGACCACAGAAUCAUGAAAAAUAACUGCUGUUUUCCUUUGGGGUGGUUUGUUAUACAACAAGGGAAAACUGAUAGAACUCCUCACUUGAACUCUACGACCUCUAACCGUUCUGCUUCUAAAAUGAUUCUUUUCUAAGUUCCGGUGAUUCCAUUGCCAGUGCCUGUGAUUACCCUGCUUCUAGUUUUUGGCUGUUCUGACUUAGUCUUCACACUGCCACCAGUUAUCAUUCUAAAGCAAGUUUUAUUCAGGUUGCCUCAUUCCUUAAAAUCCUUUAAUGGCUGUCUGUUGUCCACAGGGGAAGGCGGCCAGUUCAUGUUGACAUUUGAGGCCUCCUAUAAUCUUGCCUUGUUGCCUUGUUUACCAUCUAAGGGUCUCUCCCCUACGGUAUUUUCCAUUUUUAUGCUGCAGUCCCCCUUGGGCUACUUGCCAUUCUAAGAAUACCUCAGCUCUUCCUGUCCCUUAUUAAAAAGCUUAUUUAGUUUUCAUUUCAUGAUUUCUUAGACAGAAUUACCUAAAAAAAAAAAUUUUGCUACCGAUUCAGCAUUCUUACUUAUAUUAUUGGUUAGUUAAGAAUCAACUGCUCCUCUUCAAAAGGCCCUUAAAUAAUAAGACAUAUCUUACUCUAAUUUCUGGGCCCAGUAUUUUUUUGUACAUAGCCAGUACUCAAAUGAUAUUCAUUUGUUGAAUUUAAUUUGAUCAACUGUCACAUUUUUUGUUUAACUUAGAGUGAUAUUAUCUAGGAGUAUGAGAUAGAGAACAAUGCAAAAAACUCUAGUUGAGUUAUAAAGGUAGAAGAUUGACCUUACCCCUCGAAAAAUGCCAGGGAAGGAGAUAAAUAACUAUGAGACACAGUGAUCCUUCACAUCACCAUUUCCUUUCCAUAGUCCAACAAAAUCAGCUUAAAUUAUACUCUUAAUAAAAUCACUCCCCUUUAAAAAAGAUCACUGUAGGUGUAAGCAAGGGAAAAAAAGGCAAGUUAGUUUGGGUUAAUCCAAGGUCUAAUAAAGUAGGCCUUGUUGGAAACUUCCAAAACAGCAAUUUGCCCACAUAAAGCAAGAUAAAAUUUUUAGCUGAAAACUAAGACUAGAGUAAAUCAACCUGCAAAAUUCAUUUAAGAAGUAUUCAUUAUAAUGUUACUGUGAAGGAUAAGGAAUUUAAAGAUUAAGAAAUGGUGUGGUAUAGUAGAAAGGGGACUGGACCUAGUCUUACUAGUCCAUUCACCUGUCAAGGCUCAAUUUCCUCAUCUGUGAAAUGAGGGCAUUUGAUCAAUGUAAUAGUUUUUAAAGUCACCUUUUCUUUUCAACAGCAAAAAAAAUUUGUUUCAUUUUUUUGGUAGGAAGAGAUGGUUAAGUUUAGCCCAGUAUGCUCACUCCUCAGCCUCUCCUAAGUCGGACACCUCUGCAGAACCCUUAGGCCCGUUUACGCAAGUUCUGAAACCUGGGAUUAAGGCUUCUUCUAGCAUCUAUAUUGAAACUGAUAAAGUAAUUCAAUAAUUUUAGUGGAUUUUAAAAUUCGUGCAUGGUGAAUAACAAUCAAAGAAUGUAACUAACAACUCUAAACAUACAGUGAGAGAAGGAAUUGGAAGGAAUACUAUUUAGUACUAUUAUUUAAAAAUUUUUAAAUCAAAGAUUUCCUGAAGAAAAUCUUCAACAUUUAAAAAAACAAGCUUGGUGUAUUUGGUAACAGAUCCUAGUUACAAAGUGGUAAACCUGAGUUGGAGAUGGAUAUGAGUAAUAUGAACCUCCUCUAACCCCACACAAGCCCACCAAAGAGGCAAAGUGACUGAAAGAAGUGUCUUCUGCAGACCUGGUAUUUAAAGUAAACACAAUUUUUUAUACAAGAUCUAUCUGAAAGGAGUUGUUUCAGAACAUACGUUUUUAUGCCUUACAUAAAAAUUCCUACCUAGGACUGAAAUUAUUUAUUAUAAUACAUAUUAUAACAGAAGGUAAUUUCAAUAAGCAAAUGAAAAAUAAGGAACUAUGUACUUUUUCUUUAAAAUCUGUCUCAUAUUGGAUUUUUUAUGCUUAAUAAUUUUUAAAUUAAAAAAUUUGAUAACUGCUAAGAUGUCCAUGUAUAAAUUUCUUUUACUUUAUGAUUUUUUUAGUGAAAUACACCAAAAUAAUGAUUAUUAAAAUAGAUACUUAAAAGAAAUUUUUUUACAGCUAGUGUUUUUUACUUUCUGAAGAUAAAAACAUACAUAAAAAGCAAGGUAGAUCUGGAACUAGUUCUCUAUGUCCACAAAUAUCUUUUUUAUGAAAGUUCAAUUCAACACAAGGGAAGAGUACUUACUGGCUAAAUUCCUCAAACAGAAAAUUAAAAAGAAAAAUGUAACAUAAGGUUAUUUAUAGAUGAUGAUUUUCAAAAUUAAGAUUUAUCUGUUUGUGAUCUUUUGGCCCUGGAGGUAAAGGAUACAUUAGAUGAUGUGGUUAAGAACUCUUCUACUCUUUUCAUAAUAUCAUCCUCUCAAAAUAAAAUAUUUGCCAGUAAAAUGCUA